rnacentral:rRNA from 1 species
GACGAACGCUGGCGGCGUGCUUAACACAUGCAAGUCGAACGAAGUGGCGAACGGGUGAGUAACGCGUAAUCCACCUGCCCUUCAGAGGGGAACAACAGUUGGAAACGACUGCUAAUCCCGCAUACUGAAGGCGGUGAUUGCGUCUGAUUAGCUAGUUGGAGGGGUAACGGCCAACCAAGGCGAUGGUCAGGAGACGGUCUGAGAGGAGGAACGGACAAAGUGGGACUGAGACACGGCCCAGACUCCUACGGGAGGAAGCAGUGGGGAAUCUUCCGCAAUGGACGAAAGUCUGACGGAGCAACGCCGCGUGAGUGAUGACGGCCUUCGGGUUGUAAAGCUCUGUUAAUCGGGACGCGGUACCGGAAUAGAAAGCCACGGCUAACUACGUGCCAGCAGCCGCGGUAAUAC